AUCAGAAGUAUGAAAAAUAGAUCGGACAGCCUCAAGUCAAAGGUCUCUGCUCAACAAGACAUGAGGAUGUGCCUCCUUAGGGUAGCACAUGGGGCAGUGAAACACUAAAUGAAAUCAUCCUCUACAACACUCACAUUACACAAAUCAGACUGCUCCUCUGGAAUAACCUUAUAUCUACCUACCUGAAUUACCAGUGUUGCCUUUGAUUAAGCCUUUCGGAGCAGCUAUAAACACAUUUGAUUUCCGACAUUGUUGGACAUUACAUCGUAAGAACCAGUUCUGAGCGGCCAUAAAUCAUCAUAAAACAGCUGUCAGCAAGUGUCCUGACUCCUUGUAGGAAACAGAAGGUUUGUUUUCCUUUUCUACUGCGGAAGAACUAAACCAUUUCAGUAAUAGUUACGGGCAAUGAGCCAUUGUUGGAUGUUUACAUUUUUCAAAAUAAGGACCAAAAUAUUAUUUUCUACCUUUUUUUUCUGCUGUGCAAAGAAGUACCAAACCCUGACCCCAAAACCGAGGUGCAUACCGAACUGUGAAUGUUGUGAUCCCAAAUUACAAAACACUGUGGCACCUUCAGGACAUACUGAAAUAUUUACUUUUGUGCAUAUAUUUUUAUGUCUUAAAAAUAUGUGAUUCUCCCUUUAUGUGAUGUAACAAAGCCAAAUGUAAGUAGAUUUUGGAUACAAAGAUAUAAAUAUGUAUUACAUGCUGUAUAUUGUAUUCUCUAGGGUAAUGAAAAUUCAAUGAAUCUGGACUCUGUGCUUAAAGAAGAGACCACACACAUGCAUAAAAAUGACAACAUAAAGAUAUGCAGAAACCAUGGGUUCAGUGUUGGGUCACUUGGUGUUGCUUUGGAUGGAAAGUCUGGUGUAUUUACUGAGUAUUAGUGAUGGUUUCUCUGCCAAAAUAGGCUUUUGCUUUCUUCUGCUUUCUUCUGUGUGUGUGUUGUGUGCAAUUCUAUCUGUUCUGGCUUUUUGUCUGAAUCUGUACAUUUGCCAACAGCAGUGAUUACAUCACUGUCACACACAAAUGAACAAACGCAGCUAUGUAGAUGACCUGAUUAAAAGCAUCAUACUCUGUAUACCUUUCUUUUUUCAUGUAGCAAAUAAAGCCUAUGAAGAGUUAAACCCUGCUGGAUUUGUCAUAAAGCUCCUGUUGUCUGCUGCUGUAGGAUUAACUUACCUCACAGACAUCAUAGGCUCCCAUUAUUUUCAAAAAUCCCUAAAACAGCUCAGACAGAGUGUUGCAGUGUCCUAACAUAACAAAUCAUGUUGGACAGUGUGUGCAUUACAGCUUUCCUAACGUAGACUCACUCAUACUUUUUGUUCUGAGUGAAACACUUUUUAGUUUUUUCUCAUUUCAAACUACAGCUUCAUAUGCCUGAUAACAAUGACAUUGAAAGAAGAAUGGAGAAUAGUGUUAUAGCUGGAGACACUAAGUGAUUUCUUUACAUUUAUUUCUAGUCAAAUAAAAAAACUUCAACGACUGUAACUGUGGCGUUAAGAAGCAAUAAGACAAAGAAGUUGUCAGAGUUAUCUGAUUUACAGUGAUGGAUUAUGUUUGUCAAGGAAGCUGAACUGAAUGUCGCUGAGUGGUUCCAAAUAGACUUUCUGAAAAAAAUCAUGGACAUUAACAGCGAUAGAAGAAUACAAAUAUACACUAGUGUUGCCCUUCAAGAUAUUGACCCUUUGAGUUCUAAGAUAUUUAAGCCAUUAUUGCCAUAGCUACAGCCUCUGUGUCUGAGCAAACCUUUAUGAUAGUCACUGGGAAAAAAUGUCUGCCGGUAGAUUUUUUUUUUCAUUUGCUACUUGAAAGAUUUUCAUUUUCUGUGGAAUAGGCACACAUAGAAACUUUGUAGUGGAUCAUAUUUUAAUUACAGAUAUGCCAUUUUUUCUAGACAUUGGAUAAUGUGUAACUGUUUUUUCAAUUUUUGAAGUAGUUAUGGGGUUGUUAAACAACAUUACUGCAACAAAAAACUUCAUUUGAAGAAGGCAGCCUUUUUUAUGAAUGACUUUGCUGAGUUCUGUAAAUCUAGCACCAGGUUAUGUGUUAUUUGUUUUUUGUUGUUUGCCACUUGGGGGCAGCGUAAA